UUAGGGGAAAAAAAAUGUUAGAGUGAGGAAAAAAGAAGAGUGGGAGAGAGAAAGAAGAAAUUUGGAAAUCUAGAAGAGGCAGAUGACGGGCUGUGCUCCACCAGGACAGGGAUGCCUUCUUGGACUACUGACACCAAGAAACUGCACAUGGGACAACAGGUUAUCCUACACUGAGCCGGGAUGCACUCAAGGGCUGUUAAUAUUUAUGGUUGGAGUUACUGUGGUUUUAAUAGUGAUAGUAAUUUAGAUACCAAAAUUUUAACAUGGGGACAGCUACAUGGAUUAUUUUUAUCAUAUUAUUAGGAGCCUUUCUUGGAAAACCUGAAAAUUCAAAUCUCAUAUUGUGAUUAAUUCAAGCUUUUGGGUACAUGGAUAAUGUUAGUCAAAUCACAGAAUGCCUUUCCCUUCCCCAGUCUGCCAGUUCACCAGUGACUUGGGGAAUAACGACCAUGGGACUGACCUAAACUUGGGAGGCUACGUGGAAAACACAAAACCAUACCAAUUUAACAUGGCACAUUGAGGAAGGGAAAUACGUCCUACAGUGGACCCUUAAGAAAAAUGUAACCAUAGAUAAUUGAAAUAUCACUAAGCUACCACUAAAAACUAAGGCUGAUGGUGAAAAAGCUGCGACAAUCUAUUGUCUGGAGAAAAGUACACAAACACACCAUGGAGAAUGCAUAUUCCUAAGGUGAGAGCACCUCAGCAUGAUGACUGGUAUUACAUGCAGAUUACUGACUGGUGUAUUAAUUGGGAUGGGACCACUGGGUUACCAAAUGAUCCCAUACAGGUCAAUAUCUGAUAUGCAAACUUUAAUAUUGCUCAUCGAUAGCUCAAGAUACUAUAACUGGAAUAUAACUUGCAGCAGUUGAGAGGCUGGAAUUCAAAGAUUGGGCCUGGUAGCUCAAGCUUUCCAAAUAUGCUGCAUUUGUUGUAACUGUACCACCCCAAUUAAUGACGCUUGGUCUCAUUUGACUAAUAAUGAUACCUGGUCUGAUACGAUUUGUUCAGAACUCACUAAACCCUCUACUGGACACACCGCACGGAUUAGUAGCGAUGGAACAUGGACUACAGACUUACCUGUGAGAAGUCAGCGAUGCCAACAUGUGCUGGAAGCGUUAACACUUUGCCACCUCUGGAGAGAACAACACCUUGCACCAGCUCCAUGGGGACGAACCAAAAGGUAAUCAAAAGACCCUUGUCAAUACACCAAGACAGGAACUGUAGUUGAAUGGGCCCUGGAAUCAGUUUUCACACCUCAAGUCACAGCAUUCCAGCAUCAAAGGAUGUUGUGUAACCUCACCAGGCAGAUUGCAGCACUGGCUAGUGCAAUUCGGGUCACGCUGGAAAAACUGAAUAUGCAACUACAGGCAAUGUCGAACAUGGCACUACAGAACAGACUGACAUUAGAUUUGCUAUUGUUGCAUGAAAAUGGAGUGUGUGGAUACUUGGACUUGGACAACAGUGCCUGCUGCAUCCAUAUACCAAUAGUAACACAGUACCUUAAUGAACAGACAGCAUGAGGUACAUGGCAAAAGCGAGUAGAGACUUUACAGAAAGCAUGGAAGGAGGAUGGUUGAACAAACUUUUGCAUGGAUUAGGAUUCUCACUAUCAGGAUGGCUUGUUUCUUUUUUACAAUCUACAUUGACAGUAAUUAUUGUAACUCUUCUGUUUUAUUAGCUUGCAUCAAAUGCAUGCUAACUUGGAUGUUGAUUCAUCGGUUGUGCAUGAUGUCUGUAUGGACUGAAUUAGAGCUGUGUCUAGGUUGAGAUGAAGAAAAUUUGAACAUAAGGGAUACCCCCAAGGUUGAUUCCAUGCAAGCAUGAUUUGUAUCUUGAAUUGAGUGACUAUAGUCACCGGGUGGAUAAUGUGGAGAAGAGUCAGACUUGUUAGUGUCACUGUUAAACACCAGCCUUGGGCAAAAGGUUGUUGGGCAGCUUGCUCCUGUUUAUCUCUUAUACAAACUAUGUGGACGGAGGUCUGCAGGUUUGGUAUGAGAGGCUGCUGAAGGACGGAGUCUUGUGUUGGCAGGACGGCCCUGCUUUGGCGGCAGAACAGAAUCUUGAAGGCCAUGGUGCCUGAGUGAAACCUUUUGCUUCAUUAGGGGUAAAAUGGAUAUUAAAGUUAAUGCCCCUGAAUACAAUAAUGAGCUUAAUGAAGUACAUGCUAAACAUACGUGACUAUAGCACUCGACUCUCCACCCAAAAUCAUGCUAAACAUCACCUGAGGGAGGGAACAGAUAAGGUUAGGUUAUAAAAGAGUGUUAGGAAUUAGUGUAAAUAACAAAAAGAUUAGUGUUAGGAGGAAAAAAUAGUGUUAGGAAAAAAAGAGUGAGGAAAAAGUAGAGUGGGGGUGACAAGGAAGAAACUGGAAAUCUAGACGAGGCAGUCAACAGGCUAUGCUCCUUCUCCUCCACCAGGACAGGGAUGCCUUCUUGUUAAGCUCUGUGCCUUCACCCUUUGGUGAGGAAUACCCAGGAUAGCAUUUUGUUAGCAUUAUUACCAUAUAUUAGCACUAUUGCAGUAAGUAAAUUUAUAAAUGACUGUUCCAAAUCUGUUAUAUAUGUCACCUUAUUAAAUAAGUUCAGCUUUGUGAAACUGUCUUAGUGAAAGUCCCUAGCAGGGCUCUGAAACAGGUAAAUGUUUGACUUGGACAAAUCCCCUUUAACGUGACAUGGACUCAAAGUAUGGACUUCAGAAUAGCUUUCUUUUUCCUAUCCCCAGUUCUAAUAUAGAACACUUAUAUUUCCACUGCUACCCACGAUCAGUAGGGUAGCUUUUAUUGUUUAUCUAUUUCUUUUUACACUGUUAUAUCUUUAUAUUCUAAUAGUCCCAUGAGGGUUUUGAAAGAGAAAACCUUUAAAAAUCUUGUAAUUUGAUACUUACCAGCAGCAUAUACAUCACUCUAUAGGCCCCUCAUAGCCCUAGGAAAUCUCAGUUCCCUGUUCAGUACCUUCCUGGAUCAUUUGCAUUUGCAACCAACCAAAGGUUUCAGACUGAUCUCAUCACUACCUUUCCAUAGAAACCAUUUUCCUUUUUGCUGACCCGAUCAUGGUUUUAUUGGCAUUAUCCUCUUAUUGUCAUCUAAGAACAAUGUAAUUUCUGAAGUUUUUACCUGUUGCCUUUCUACUGGAAAUUCAGGUUUAACCAAAAGCUACUGCCCAGUACAUCUUGUCCCCUUCAGAGAACAACACUUUGGCUCAGUGGAUUGGUGUAAAUGUAGUUAAAUAAAACAUUCUUUUUCUUUUUUUUUUUAAUCAAUAUCUUGCUUAUAUUCAGAUCCUCAGCAGCAAUAUCUGAUAGCUGAUCUAUAUUAUGUGAUAGAUGUGAUCUGUGGUAGCUGAUCUAUAUUAUGGCCAAUCACAAGAGUGAAUGUGUUCUGUAAUUCUGUGAUUCUGCGAUCUCUGUUAGGUAUAGCUGUGUGCUUUCCUUUUUGUUCUGUACUUUCAUAGAUGUGUUGCUACUGUUGCAAUUUAUGUAAUCUUCAAUUCAGUUAUAUCCAUAUUAAAAAACCUAACAUUUAA